GGCCACCGAGAGAGACCCCCUCCCCAUAUCCCCGCAGCAUCUCGGCCGUGAGUCACCGUCACGUUUCUCACGUCCCCGGGCAGGCGUGAAUCAUGCCCCAGCCCGGCGGCAGGGCCGGGGCCGGCGGCACACGCUCGGCACCGGGCAGCCUGCCCACGCCCCCCCCUCCCACAACACCCCAUCAAGGAGAUCUGGGGGUGCCGGGGCUGGUGUGGAGCCCAGGACCUGCGUGUCACUCCCGAGGGCCAGCAGCACCCCCAACCCCACUGCAUGUCACUGGACCACCACACCAUGGCACCCUGUGGGCCAGUGACAACCCACGCCGGGCCACCACCGCUUCCCCCAGCAUGGCCACCGCGCUGGCCGGUGGGGACGGUGACCUUGCCUGCAGGGAUGGUGUCCGUGCCGGCCUCACCACCCCAGGGAGCAGCCGCCGGCCCCACGGCGUGGGUCCUCGCCCCGACACCCCCCAUGUCCCGCUGGCCGGGUGGGAGCCACAAACUGAAAUUCCACCUGUCGCAGCCGGGGCCGGCUCCGGUUACGCCGGGAACGCGCCACUCCGGUUACACGUCCCGCACCCGCCGCCAGACGCGCCAUUCUUCUGCGGGAACAGGUGCCACCACGGCCCCCGCCACGGCCCCCGCCACGGCCCCCGCCACGGGCACGGCUGUGCCACGCCACCACCGGCACCAGCGCCGCCCGCCCCACGGCUGCUGGAUCCUGGAAGGAGCGGGUCAGCCCGGCUCAGCCCCAAAGGCCCGGCGGUGCCAGUGAUGCCCACCAGCCCCUCACCCCUUGGGGACCCCCACUCCAGCCACACAGGGGGCACCACCACCCCACGGAGCAGCCCCAAACCCUUGGGACGAGCCCAGGGAAGGGCAGAUCCUGCCCGCAGCCUGGGAUGGGGGGGGAAGUUGUGGUCCCAGGGUGCUCCAUCCCGGUUCCCCGCGGGCUCCCGGGAAGCAGCGGGAUUGCGCCACGGCAGCCGCUCGCAGCAGCGGCCCCCGGUUGUUUUUAGCCCUGGAUGCGGCGCAGCCGGCGCCCUGGGAACGUCGUGCCGGGAACAGCGCGGCCCCAGACAGCCCUUUCUGGCUCGGCGACAGCCGGCAGACAAGUGCAGCCGCCUGCGGCACGGGGCCGCUCGGGACACGGCACCGGGGGGGACCCAGCGGGCAGGAGGCCACCCAACCCCCCCCCCCCAUCCUGGGCACCAGGAUUGGGUGGCACCAUGCCCCCAGCCUGGGCAGACCCCCCCCCAAGCAGGGCCGGGAUGAGGCCAGGCCAGGACCUGGCAUACCUCGGGGACACCAAGACACCGAGAUUGGGUGUGCAGAUGUGUGCCGCUGGCACGGCCCCUCCUGCCACGGCCUGGCCACCGGGGCUCAACCGGGGCCAGCGGAGGCUGGGGCGGGCGCACGAGGCCCCUCGCCGGGCCCUGCCACGAGCCACCCCCCACUAAGCCGCCUCCAGCCGCAGGGAGAUUAACCCAUUUUCUGUAAUCAGCACAUGUGUCACCGCAGAUAUGAUCGNNNNNNNNNNCCCCCACCCCAAAAAGGGCUGGCACUGCCAUGGAGGGGGGGCCCUGCAGCACAGGGGUGCC
rnacentral:lncRNA from 1 species